CCUAGGGGUAGCAGCAGUGGGGAAUAUUGGACAAUGGGCGAAAGCCUGAUCCAGCCAUGCCGCGUGUGUGAAGAAGGCCUUCGGGUUGUAAAGCACUUUCAGUGGGGAAGAAAGCCUUGGGGCUAAUACCCUCGAGGAAGGACAUCACCCACAGAAGAAGCACCGGCUAACUCCGUGCCAGCAGCCGCGGUAAUACGGAGGGUGCGAGCGUUAAUCGGAAUUACUGGGCGUAAAGCGCGCGUAGGCGGUCUGAUAAGCCGGUUGUGAAAGCCCCGGGCUCAACCUGGGAACGGCAUCCGGAACUGUCAGGCUAGAGUGCAGGAGAGGAAGGUAGAAUUCCCGGUGUAGCGGUGAAAUGCGUAGAGAUCGGGAGGAAUACCAGUGGCGAAGGCGGCCUUCUGGACUGACACUGACGCUGAGGUGCGAAAGCGUGGGUAGCAAACAGGAUUAGAUACCCCGGUAGUC
rnacentral:rRNA from 1 species